CGGCUUUUCAUCUUUAUUGGUGAAAGGAUGUGCAUCGACCCUUCCGGCCCGGCCGCCCCGCGGUUGUCUGUGUCCGUGGGCGACGCGUGUGUGCCUACGAGGUCUCUGACUGAUGACUCCCCUCCCCGCCUGCAGGCUGUGCCCGCUUCUGCGCCUCUGGGUCUGUUCUGUUCAGCAGCUGAUUUUGUUCCUCAGAGUCCACGUCUGAGGGCGAUCGUGGGAUAUUGUCUUUCUCUGACGCCGACUUGGCUUCCGCACGUGUUCACGGCUUCGGGCUCCGAGGGAAGCGGCUGCGCCCUGCCCCGCUCCCAUUCCUUGCAGUCUCUUUUGUAGAUGUGAGUGACCGGUGAAAAGCAGAUAGAAGCCAACGGGUGUGGCUUCCAGGAAAACGCUUUAAAGGUCCCGGCUCAGCUGCUCGCCGUUGGAUCCUCGGAGUGCUUGGCUCCAGGCUGGAUGGCGACCAGGCUUAGUUGACUGGCUGUGAUCACCCGUGGCGGCGUGGCGUGGGAGGAGCAAAG